CCGACUUUUUCAGCGCUCGCGGGACAAUAACACAAAUGCACAUGGUGACGAGAGCCACGCCUGGGCUCCCGUUGGAGUUUUCGAGCAUCUGUUCAGGACAAGCUGUAUCUUCAGUGAGUAAUCGUAAAUUAUAUAAUGCAUCAUAAAUAUAAGCCUGACGUCUCCUCGCCGUGGAAAACGCCUCUGGCAGAUUUCCAGCUGCUGGGUUUCAAGUCUUUGCAGUACGUCUGACGGUGGAAAAAAGCAUGAAUAAUGG
ensembl:lncRNA